rnacentral:tRNA from 1 species
GCUCUCGUAGCUCAGUUGGUAGAGUGCGGCACUAGUAAGAUAUGGUGAUCAUGUGAUAACGUGGUCUACGGUUCAAAUCCGUAUGGGAGCA